GUUGGAAGUCACUUGAGUCAUUCAAGUCAGUCAGAGCUUUAGUCUUAAGUUUUUCGUUGGCUCAUUGUAAUGAUCCCUUUACAGAGGCUAUUUCAGUCACUUGUCUUUUGGAAGCCUCCAUACCAAAGAAUGCCUUCCAUUGUUUUCAAAGGUUCAGGAUCAUCUCUUUUCAGAGGUACCCCAAAGGUGGACUAUCUUAUCUAAGUUAAAGGUUCCCCAAAGUGGCCACUGUAAUUCCAAGGUAUCAUAUGUAGAGUGCACCCAUUUUUCCAAAAAGGGACAAGAUCCUGGUUGUUAAGUUGGGUAUACAUAUAGGAAGCAGGAAUUUUUGAGGGAGGUGGGGAAAGAGUUUUAGACCAAGUGGAAUGAAUCUUUGCCUUUAGAGUCCCUAAAAUGACUGUAUCUAUAGGGAGCCCAGGAAAUUUACUGCUAUCUAGGAACCCAGGGAAUCAUGAGUUUUCUCCCCUUACAGAUAUAAGUGUCACCAAGAAGCUUGAACAAAAACACAGGUAUGCACAACAAAGUGAGAGAGCUCAAAACACAAAGAGAGUGGAGCUGGGAUCCAAGAGAGACUUACGUUAGAACCCCGAGGUUGGUGAGAAAGUAGUGAGCACAAUGGGCUUGGGAGGUACCAGCACCUGGCUACUCACUGGCCUUGGGGCUCGUCAGGGGUCUUCUUCAAAUCCCACUUCCGACAGCAGAAGCUGUCAAAAAUAAAAUCAGAUCAAAUUAAAAUGUUAAGAGUUUAUUGGGCGUGUAAAAGAACAGCUUGCAAACUGGGAGACUUCAGACUGGAAAUGGCAAAAGCUCUGAGGCAUGUCAUUACAGGAUGAUUUAUAAGGGGAGACUGAGGAAGUUAACCUUUACAAUGACUGGUUGUUACAAAUGCGGGUUUCCAGAUGGCAGAGCAUUGGUUAAAAGUGAUUAUCUUACACCAUUUUAAGAAGACAAUUGAGAUUUUGUUUAAGAUUUUCGGUGGCAUUUACAAGAAAUAAACUGAAUUAAAUUUCACUUACAUUGAUGAAACAAACUAGACUAAGUUUUGAUUACAUGGCUUAACUGGCUUUAUCUGUUUGGGGGAUUUUUAAGCCUAGUCUCCAUUUUAUUUAACAGACCCAAUUCAGUCUACAAGGCCCUUUCUUAUCCCCUGGGCCAAAAGUAAUUAUUUGGUGGUUCUCUUUAGCCAAGGAUAAUUGGCACCAGGAGGGACAGGGGGUGUAAUCCCCAAGAGAAUCCUCUUAAAGUAGGGACCAAAAUUCCAUAGUUAAGAAGGAUAAAAGGACUGAUUGUAGGGAGAGCUAAUCUGGGACAAAGUUAAACCAAAAAACACACACACACAUACCAUAAUGUAAUAGAUAAUAAUUAUACACAAGUGUUAUUUAACAUAAAAAUAUGAAACACAGGUGUUUACGUGAAACUAUAUAUGCUGUAUUAUUUAUCCUUCAGUUACAUAAAUGCUAUUAUUUAAACAAAAUAGGACUAAUUAACAGUGACAAUUAGUAAUAAUAGGACUAAUUAAACAAAUAGUGUAUGAGAAAUAUAUAACAAUAUUUUUAUGCAUUUCUCUCCUCUGAUACAGUUUUUUUUUCUUUUUCUUUUUUUUGCUGAGGAAGAUUCACCCUGAGCUAACAUCUGUGCCAGUGUUCCUCUAUUUUGUAUGUGGGUUGCUGCCACAACAUGGCCAUCAACGAGUAGUGUAGGUCUGUGCCCAGGAACCGCACCUUGGCCUUUGAAGUGGAGCACACCAAACUUAAACACUAGGCCAUGGAGCCAGCCCCUUAAUUUACUUUUUUAAACAACUAAAUAUUUAAAUUUUAGAGGUUAUAUUAUUCUGUAUUAAGAUGCAAAAAUAUGACUUUUUAAAAGGAGAACAUAAAUAUAAUAGGAUUAACUAAACAGGCACUGCUAUAUUUACUAAAAAUAGCAAUGGCAUGCUCCUUCUGUCUCACAAUACAGGAUAUUUUUACUCUUUCUGUUUCCUUGUCCAAUAGUACUUCUCUGAACAGCCUGCAGCCUUCAGGACAUCCUUCUUUUCUUUUACAUGGUGGUAAAACUGGAUACAGUCGAAUGGAAAAUUCUCUUUGACUUGCAGUUGUGCUCUCACCAAGCCUACGUCACACUGAUUCCUGGUGUCAGUCCAAUGUGAUGACAUCAAUCUAAAUACCCUCUCAACAAAAACAUGUGAGCAUGGAAUACUUAGAAUUUUACUUACGAGCAGCAGCAAGUUUUUAGACUUGUAGGAAUCUGUUUCCAGCUCUCCAGAAACGUCCAUCCAUUUUUCAUCUCCAGGCUUGUUCGGGUAGACCAGCUGUUUGUCUAUCAAGUCCUGUGCAUCUAUAAAUUCAUCAGAGAGGUUUCCAUGUCUAAAAGGUCCAUCAUUUCUGAACAUUCCGAAUCACACCGGAUGUCACUGAACCAUUCUGAGACCCACGGGCAAGUCAAGGUUGGCUGUUCCUAAGGAUGUGGCUGUGCUGGCUUUUGCUAUUUC
rnacentral:lncRNA from 1 species